rnacentral:rRNA from 1 species
AGUCGAGCGNAUCGAUGGGAGCUUGCUCCCUGAGAUUAGCGGCGGACGGGUGAGUAACACGUGGGCAACCUGCCUAUAAGACUGGGAUAACUUCGGGAAACCGGAGCUAAUACCGGAUACGUUCUUUUCUCGCAUGAGAGAAGAUGGAAAGACGGUUUACGCUGUCACUUAUAGAUGGGCCCGCGGCGCAUUAGCUAGUUGGUGAGGUAAUGGCUCACCAAGGCGACGAUGCGUAGCCGACCUGAGAGGGUGAUCGGCCACACUGGGACUGAGACACGGCCCAGACUCCUACGGGAGGCAGCAGUAGGGAAUCUUCCGCAAUGGACGAAAGUCUGACGGAGCAACGCCGCGUGAACGAAGAAGGCCUUCGGGUCGUAAAGUUCUGUUGUUAGGGAAGAACAAGUACCAGAGUAACUGCUGGUACCUUGACGGUACCUAACCAGAAAGCCACGGCUAACUACGUGCCAGCAGCCGCGGUAAUACGUAGGUGGCAAGCGUUGUCCGGAAUUAUUGGGCGUAAAGCGCGCGCAGGUGGUUCCUUAAGUCUGAUGUGAAAGCCCACGGCUCAACCGUGGAGGGUCAUUGGAAACUGGGGAACUUGAGUGCAGAAGANGAAAGUGGAAUUCCAAGUGUAGCGGUGAAAUGCGUAGAGAUUUG